UACGUAGGGUGCAAGCGUUGUUCGGAAUCAUUGGGCGUAAAGCGCGCGUAGGUUGUCAGCUAAGUCGGGUGUGAAAGCCCUCGGCUCAACCGGGGAAGUGCAUCCGAAACUAACUGACUAGAAGAUGGUAGAGGAAGGUGGAAUUCCUAGUGUAGAGGUGAAAUUCGUAGAUAUUAGGAGGAACACCGGUGGCGAAGGCGGAUCUCUGGGCCUUACCUGACGCUCAGGCGCGAAAGCUAGGGGAGCGAACUGG
rnacentral:rRNA from 1 species